rnacentral:pre_miRNA from 1 species
UUGGUUUGUCUGAAGUCAAACUUGCUAAACUUUGACCAUGUUUAUAGAAAAAUAUAAUAACAACCAUGCUACUAAACAUAUGCAUAUCAAAAUAUAUUAUAUAGUAGAUUCAAUGAAAAAAUUUGGUAUUAUAAAUGUUGUUAUAUUUUUCUAUAAACAUGGUCAAAGUUUAGGAACUUUGACUUCACACAAACCAAA